rnacentral:rRNA from 1 species
GACGAACGCUGGCGGCGUGCCUAAUACAUGCAAGUCGAACGCAGUGGGGACGGGUGAGUAACACGUGGGUAACCUCCCAUCAGAGGGGAUAACACUUGGAAACAGGUGCUAAACCGAUACUGAUGGAUGGACCCGCGGUGCAUUAGCUAGUUGGUGAGGUAACGGCUAACCAAGGCCACGAUGCAUAGCCGGCCUGAGAGGGUGAUCGGCCACACUGGGACUGAGACACGGCCCAGACUCCUACGGGAGGCAGCAGUGGGGAAUCUUGGGCAAUGGGCGCAAGUCUGACCGAGCCACGCCGCGUGUAUGAAGAAGGUUUUCGGGUCGUAAAGCACUGUCAGUGGGGAAGCGUUAUCUGACGAGGAAGCAACGGCUAACUCCGUGCCAGCAGCCGCGGUAAUUC